rnacentral:rRNA from 2 species
UAAGCAUAUCAAUAAGCGGAGGAAAAGAAACCAACAGGGAUUGCCUCAGUAACGGCGAGUGAAGCGGCAACAGCUCAAAUUUGAAAUCUGGCCUCACGGUCCGAGUUGUAAUUUGUAGAGGAUGUUUCGAACGUGGUCCGGUCUAAGUUCCUUGGAACAGGACGUCAUAGAGGGUGAGAAUCCCGUAUGCGAUCGGGUGCCUAUGUUCAUGUGAAACUCCUUCGACGAGUCGAGUUGUUUGGGAAUGCAGCUCAAAAUGGGUGGUAAAUUUCAUCUAAAGCUAAAUACUGGCCAGAGACCGAUAGCGCACAAGUAGAGUGAUCGAAAGAUGAAAAGCACUUUGGAAAGAGAGUUAAACAGUACGUGAAAUUGUUGAAAGGGAAGCGCUUGCAACCAGACUUGCACGCAGUCGAUCAUCCGGUGUUCUCACCGGUGCACUCGGCCGCGUUCAGGCCAGCAUCGGUUCUGGUGGUUGGAUAAAGGCCUUGGGAAUGUAGCUCCUCUCGGGGAGUGUUAUAGCCCUCGGUGCAAUGCAGCCUACCGGGACCGAGGACCGCGCUUCGGCUAGGAUGCUGGCGUAAUGGUUGUAAGCGACCCGUCUUGAAACACGGACCAAGGAGUCUAACAUCUAUGCGAGUGUUUGGGUGUCAAACCCAUACGCGUAAUGAAAGUGAACGGAGGUGAGAACCCUUAAGGGUGCAUCAUCGACCGAUCCUGAUGUCUUCGGAUGGAUUUGAGUAAGAGCAUAGCUGUUGGGACCCGAAAGAUGGUGAACUAUGCCUGAAUAGGGUGAAGCCAGAGGAAACUCUGGUGGAGGCUCGCAGCGGUUCUGACGUGCAAAUCGAUCGUCAAAUUUGGGUAUAGGGGCGAAAGACUAAUCGAACCAUCUAGUAGCUGGUUCCUGCCGAAGU